GACGAACGCUGGCGGCGUGCCUAAUACAUGCAAGUCGAACGCAUUUUCUUUCACCGUAGCUUGCUACACCGAAAGAAAAUGAGUGGCGAACGGGUGAGUAACACGUGGGUAACCUGCCCAUCAGCGGGGGAUAACACUUGGAAACAGGUGCUAAUACCGCAUAAUUCCAUUUACCGCAUGGUAGAUGGAUGAAAGGCGCUUUUGCGUCACUGAUGGAUGGACCCGCGGUGCAUUAGCUAGUUGGUGGGGUAACGGCCUACCAAGGCUGCGAUGCAUAGCCGACCUGAGAGGGUGAUCGGCCACACUGGGACUGAGACACGGCCCAGACUCCUACGGGAGGCAGCAGUAGGGAAUCUUCGGCAAUGGACGCAAGUCCGACCGAGCAACGCCGCGUGAGUGAAGAAGGUUUUCGGAUCGUAAAACUCUGUUGUUAGAGAAGAACAAGGAUGAGAGUGGAAAGUUCAUCCCUUGACGGUAUCUAACCAGAAAGCCACGGCUAACUACGUG
rnacentral:rRNA from 1 species